rnacentral:rRNA from 1 species
UGGGGAAUAUUGGACAAGGGAGGCAACUCUGAUCCAGCAAUUCUGUGUGGGUGAAGAAGGUUUUAGGACUGGAAAACACUUUUAGUAGGGAAGAAAAAAAUGACGGUACCUACAGAAGAAGCGACGGCUAAAGACGUGCCAGCAGCCGCGGUAAUACGUAUGUCGCGAGCGUUAUCCGGAAUUAUUGGGCUUAAAGGGCAUCUAGGCGGUUAAACAAGUUGAAGGUGAAAACCUGUGGCUCAACCAUAGGCUUGCCUACAAAACUGUAUAACUAGAGUACUGGAAAGGUGGGUGGAACUACACGAGUAGAGGUGAAAUUCGUAGAUAUGUGUAGGAAUGCCGAUGAUGAAGAUAACUCACUGGACAGCAACUGACGCUGAAGUGCGAAAGCUAGGGGAGCAAACAGG